AGAGUUUGAUCAUGGCUCAGGACGAACGCUGGCGGCGUGCUUAACACAUGCAAGUCGAACGGAAAGGCCCGCUUGCGGGUACUCGAGUGGCGAACGGGUGAGUAACACGUGGGCAACCUGCCCUCAGCUCUGGGAUAACUCCGGGAAACCGGUGCUAAUACUGGAUAUCAACUUUGCCUCGCAUGGGGUGUUGUUGAAAGUUUUUCGGCUGGGGAUGGGCCCGCGGCCUAUCAGCUUGUUGGUGGGGUGAUGGCCUACCAAGGCGACGACGGGUAGCCGGCCUGAGAGGGCGACCGGCCACACUGGGACUGAGACACGGCCCAGACUCCUACGGGAGGCAGCAGUGGGGAAUAUUGCGCAAUGGGCGGAAGCCUGACGCAGCGACGCCGCGUGAGGGAUGACGGCCUUCGGGUUGUAAACCUCUUUCAGCUCUGACGAAGCGUGAGUGACGGUAGGAGCAGAAGAAGCACCGGCCAACUACGUGCCAGCAGCCGCGGUAAUACGUAGGGUGCAAGCGUUGUCCGGAAUUAUUGGGCGUAAAGAGCUCGUAGGCGGUCUGUCGCGUCGAAUGUGAAAACCCGGGGCUCAACCCCGGGCCUGCAUUCGAUACGGGCAGACUAGAGUUCGGUAGGGGAGUCUGGAAUUCCUGGUGUAGCGGUGAAAUGCGCAGAUAUCAGGAGGAACACCGGUGGCGAAGGCGGGACUCUGGGCCGAUACUGACGCUGAGGAGCGAAAGCGUGGGGAGCGAACAGGAUUAGAUACCCUAGUAGUCC
rnacentral:rRNA from 1 species